AUUCCUCAGCCCAUCUGGAUUUAUGUUUAUUUUUUCUGGAUGGUGCUGGUUGUGGAGGUUGCUGGCUUUUUUAAUUAAUGCCUGCUCCUCUUAAAUGUAUUAGUGUGGAUGUUAUCAAAUGUUCCCCAGUGUAAUAAUUUAUUUGCACUGUUGGUCCUUUGGUAGAUGAUAUGUUCAUGCUUCUAACAGUCCUUCAUUUGGACAAUAUUUACUUUUGC
rnacentral:misc_RNA from 1 species